GGCAGCAAAACAGUUGCUUAUGUUCCUCUCCUGCAAAUGCUUCAAAAAUUGCUUGGUAGGCAAGACAUUUUACAGAAGGCUAUGUCAAAGCCAGCUCAUGUCCCAGAUGAGUACAAUACUUGUAGAGAUGGCAGGUGCUUCAGAGGAAAUGACCUUCUGUGUAGUGAUGAGUUUACAAUUGCCCUGACCCUGUAUAUAGAUGAUUUUGAGGUUGCUAAUCCAUUAGGGACAUCAAGGGGGAAGCAUAAGAUGUGUGCGAUAUACUGGACCAUUGCGAACAUACCAGCAAAAUACAGAUCGACACUUAAUUCAAUUCAGCUGGCACUUUUGUGCAAUACAACAACAGUUAAAGAGUAUGGCUAUGACAAAGUACUGUACCCACUCAUUUGUGAUUUAGUCUCUCUUGAGCAACAAGGUGUUUACAUUGAGCACCUUGGUGCAUGUGUCAAAGGAACUGUGUUGUUUGUGUCUGCAGAUAACUUGGGUGCACACUCUCUUGCAGGCUUUUUUGAGAGCUUCUCAGUGGAAAAAUUCUGCAGAUUCUGUAUGGCAUCCAGGACUGACACUCAACUCCAACAGACUUGGUGGCAAAGAAGUACUUCACUCUAGAUGUACUGAAUGCGGCUAUCCGAUCUUUUCCAUACUCAUUCACAGACAAAACUGAUCGGCCACAACAGAUUGAUGGCCUCCCAAACAAUGACUAUGCGUGUUAUCCUCUGCG